rnacentral:ncRNA from 1 species
AUCACCCUUGCAGGUGACGGUGGCCCGCAAGGGCUGAAACGGGAAUGCGGGAGGGCUCCGGCACGGGGCCCGGGCCGCGGCUGCCCCCGCAACUGUCGGUGACGCGCGGACCGCAAUGUCCGCACCGGCCCCAGGACGCCAUUGCCCGGAUCGCGGGCGAGAAGGCGGGGCGGGAUGCCACCAGCCAGGAGACCGGCCGUCCCCGAGACUGCACGC